rnacentral:miRNA from 1 species
UACUGGCUCUGAAAGUCCUGGU